rnacentral:rRNA from 1 species
AACGAACGCUGGCGGCAUGCCUAACACAUGCAAGUCGAACGGGAUCCUAGCUUGCUAGGUGAGAGUGGCGGACGGGUGAGUAACACGUGGGAAUCUGCCUUUUGGUUCGGGAUAACCGCGGGAAACUGCGGCUAAUACCGAAUGCCCUCGAGAGAGGAAAGAUUUAUCGCCAGAAGAGGAGCCCGCGUCCGAUUAGGUAGUUGGUGGGGUAAAGGCCUACCAAGCCGACGAUCGGUAGCUGGUCUGAGAGGAUGAUCAGCCACACUGGGACUGAGAUACGGCCCAGACUCCUACGGGAGGCAGCAGUGGGAAUAUUGGACAAUGGGGGCAACCCUGAUCCAGCAAUAGCCGCGUGAGUGAUGAAGGCCUUAGGGUUGUAAAGCUCUUUGCCAGGGAAGAUGAUGACUGUACCUGGAGAA